ACCAGACUCCUACGGGAGGCAGCAGUGGGGGAUAUUGCACAAUGGGGGGAACCCUGAUGCAGCGACGCCGCGUGGGUGAAGAAGUAUUUCGGUAUGUAAAGCCCUAUCGGCAGGGAAGAAAUUGGACGGUACCUGACUAAGAAGCCCCGGCUAACUACGUGCCAGCAGCCGCGGUAAUACGUAGGGGGCAAGCGUUAUCCGGAUUUACUGGGUGUAAAGGGGGCGCAGACGGCGAUGCAAGCCAGGAGUGAAAGCCCGGGGCCCAACCCCGGGACUGCUCUUGGAACUGCGUGGCUGGAGUGCAGGAGGGGCAGGCGGAAUUCCUGGUGUAGCGGUGAAAUGCGUAGAUAUCAGGAGGAACACCGGCGGCGAAGGCGGCCUGCUGGACUGAAACUGACGUUGAGGCUCGAAAGCGUGGGGAACAAACAGGAUUAGAUACCCUGGUAA
rnacentral:rRNA from 1 species